CACACUGUCAGCUCUAUCACUUUCUUUUUCCUAAAACAAGCCACCAGGCCAGUCCAGAUUUCUGGGGCAGGGAAGUAAAUGUCGUCUCCUGAUGGGAGAAGCAGAGGUCACUUGGCAAAAAAUUUUCUACCCUGCUCAACAGUAACAUGGUGAGAAAUUAACUAACAUUUGUUGAAUGUUGAAGACUCACUAUUACCUAGUUAUUUUUUAUCUCCACUUUUAUGAUGAGGGAACUAAAAUUUAGGAAAGCAACUUGGCCAGGACCGGAAAGCUGGAAAGUAAAAGAGCUGAGGUUUGAAACAAGCCUGUGCCUUUUCUGUUUCACCAAAUAGGCCUGACAGCUCUCUGUGCUCUUUAAUAUUGAUGUAAAGAAGCAGGCAUGCUUGACUUUGGGUGUUCACAAGGGAUGUGUGACAGGAGGGAGGAUUAGCCGAGACGCUGGGGAAUAGGCAGUGUCCAGGCAAACAGGCUGGCACAAUAGAAAGAAAAACGGCUUUGGAGUUAGACACUCCUGGGUCCAAACAGCUAUAAAUCUGUUUCCUCAUUUGCAAGAUGGUGAUAGCAGCCCCCUUCUCACAAGACUGUGAGAGCUGUGAAUUAUUAUUUUUAAUUGUUGCAUAAUAAUUGCCCAUAUGUAUGGGCAUGUGUGAUAUUUUGUUACAUGCAUAGAACAUGUCAUGAUCAAGUCAGGGUAUUUAGAAUAUCCAUCUCCUCAAGCAUUUAUCAUUUCUGUGGAGCUGUGGACUCUUCAUGAAAAGUAUGGAGGGGCUGGCCUGCAGAACCAGGGGCCAGGGUAGGGGGAGAGCUGGAGACACACUCCCAUCCUUCUCCCCACACAAAGUCCUUUGGACACAACCAUGCCGCUCUGGUUGAACCCUUAUUUCUAGGACCCUCCCCAGUCUGUGUUCCUUGCCUUUCUCUCUAAUCAUAUGAAGAUAGAUGAUAGAUAGAUAAAUAGAUAAAUAAUAGAUAGAUAUGCACAUAAAAGCCUUUUUCAUUUUUAAUUGUUUUACAGAAGUGUGAUGAUGCUAUUCACAUGACUGAACCCUUUGAUUUUUGUAGUCAAUGACUGCUAAAUCCCUCUGACCCACAAACAUGCACCUCAUGUCAUCCUCCUGCCUCUCCCUGACUCUCAGAUGAUGUCCAUAGAGAAUGGAGCUGUUGAGGAAGCCAGAAAGGAACUGAGGAAGUGACAAAUAGAUUCUUGUAGCAUAGUAUUAGAAGUCCCGGCAAAAUAAAUCAGGCAAGAAAAAGAAAUAAAGACCAUCUAAAUAGGAAGAGAGGAAGUCAAACUAUCCCCAUUUGCAGAUGACAUCAAAGUGGGAAUUUAUGGCCAUUAUUUAGGUUAAUUAGUAUUUCUCAAACUGAGUUUCACAAAGAAGAACUCAGAAGUUUAUGAAUUCAUGUAGAACUAAAAAGAUGAAUUCUCUAAGAUUGUAUUGGAGUAAUUAUAGAAAUGAGAGUGAAAAUUUGGGACAUGUGAAAUA
rnacentral:lncRNA from 1 species